ensembl:lncRNA
CCAGCCUAACGCUUCCUUGGUGCAACUUGAGGCCAUGACCUCUUGUCCUAGUGCUGGUUACCUGGGAGAACAGAAUGACCCUACAGUCCUUUCAGAAGUUGUAGAGAGCAAUAAGGCCACCCCUGAGCUUCCUCUUCUCCGGACUGAACCAUCCCAGUUCCUGCAGCUGCUCCCUCCUGCAAGGAAUUCCACUGUGCCCCUUCACCUCAGAUGUUUCAAUGCACUUCAGUAUUAAUCCCCAGUGACUAGGAGGAAACCACUACAGAGCAGGCACAGGUACGCUUAAAGGACAAAUUUAGGAUUAUGAUCUCAUUUUGCAUUUUUGGCAGAUGAUUUGCACACGACUGUACCUGGAAAGGCCUCAAUUUGUUACCCCUGUCAUUUUCUCCCUAUCUCUCAGCCUCCCCACUAAAACCAUCAGACACAUUGGAGACUUGGAUGUUUUCCUCUCCACUGACACGCUCAACGCAAGGCUCACGGUGAUUUUGUCUUCAGGAUGAGCUUGGCAGCCGCAGCCUCAGCUGGAAGCAAAGUCAGAAGCUCCACACGUGGACUCAGCACUCCCACCCCUCUGCAUGGGCAUCCCUGGCCCCAGGACUGCGUGUUUCCAGCAGGCACAUACAUGUCCAACAGCAACGUCUCCUUCCUUGGUUCUAAGGCCAUGUUUUUGUUUAAGGUUGGAAAACAGCUCCGUGGAUUCC